UUACAUUCAACGAACUCACAUCAAAGCAUAUUUAUCAUUUUUUUGCACAUGUCGUUGGCUUAUUGGACUAUUCGUUGACAUUACCUCUGAAUAUUAACCCAGAGGCAGUCUGCCGGAUAUUCGAUGCUUUUAUUAUGCUAAUUAAAACUCAAUUGGAGACUAAAAAUCCACAAGGAAUAAACGGAAUCAAAUCAAUCGUAGUUAAAUUUGUUUAUUUGGUAAAGCGACUGCUCUACAUGCAUCCUCGUGAGACAAUUACGACUGCAAAGUUGGCUUUUCCAUGCCUCAAAGAAUAUAUUAACUCUAUUUGUCAUCCGGGGAGUCUUCUUUCUGAAGUCAAUGCCCUUGAAGUGGCUAUAUCCAUUGAUACACGUGGUUCAAAUUAUUUGAAUAUUUUUUCUCGCCGGCUGACAUUAAAG